rnacentral:rRNA from 1 species
ACUCUCGACAACUGAUAUCUCGGCUCUUGCAUCGAUGAAGAAUGUAGCAAAAUUUGAUACUUGGUGUGAAUUGCAGAAUCCCGUGAACCAUUGAGUAUUUGAACGCAAGUUGUGCCAGAAGCCAUUAGGCCGAGGGCACGUCUGCCUGGUCAUCACGCAUCGUGUUGCCCUCGUCGCAUCAGUCCUCAAUCACGGGGCUCGCUGUUGUCGUGGGGCGGAUAAUGGCCUCCCGUCCACUGUGAGCUCACGGUUGACCUAAAUGCGUGUCCACGUCGACGGAUGUCAUGGCAAGUGGUGGUUGUAUCUCAACUCUCUUUUUUUUCGCAGCUAUAGCCCAUCGUGUGUCCGAAAUCCAGGACCCUUUCGCGCUUAGGCACUCCGACCGCGACCCCAGGUCAGGCGGGAUUAACCACUGAGUUUAAGCAUAUAAAUAAGCGGAGGAAAAGAAACUUAUAAGGAUUCCCUUAGUAACGGCGAGCGUACCAGGAACAGCCUAGCCUUAGAAUCGGAUGGCUCUGUCAUCGAAAUUGUAGUUUGGAGAAGUGUCCUCAAAGAAGGACCAAGCCCGAAUCCUCUCGAAGGGGGCGACAGAGAGAGUGAGAGCCACAUUGUGCCCAGACCCUGCUGCACCACGAGGAACUAUCUACGAGUUGGGUUGUUUGGGAAUUCUGCCCAAAUCAGGCAGUGAAUUCCGUCCAAGGCUAAAUACAAGUGACAGACUGAUAGCAAACAAGUACCGUGAGGGAAAAAUGGAAAGGACUUUGAAAAAGAGUCAAAGAGUGCUUGAAAUUAUUAGAAGGAAAGCGGAUGGGGGCCGGAGAUGCGCCCCGGUCGGAUGUGGAAUGGCGACGAUCUGGUCCAUCGAUCAACUCGGGGCGUAGAAUCGCGUGGAUUGGGGGCGUCCAAAUCCUGUGUUCUCGAUAUGCUUGUGGAAUGACGUCUCCUCGAUUAUGGAAAGCAGCGCGCGCCUCCAGUGUGCUUCGACAUCUUCACACUACGAACGCUGAUCUGUGGCUCCCCAUUUGACCCAUCUUAAAAAAUGGACCAAGGAGUCUGACAUGUGUAAGAGUCAAUGAGAGAGUAAACCCAUAAGGCGUAAGGAAGCUGAUUGGUGGUAUCCCCCCGAGGGGUGCACCGCCGACCGACCUUGAUCUUCUAAGAAGGGUUCGGGUGUGAGCAUACCUGUUGGGACCCAAAAUAUGGUGAAAUAUACCUGAGCGGGGCGAAGCUAGAGGAAACUCUGGUGGAGGACCGCAGGAUACUGACAUACAAAUCAUUCGUCUGACUAGGGUGUAGGGCCCGCGGCCGCUUUGUCGAGACGUGCCACAAAAUGAAAAGCUCCAAGUGUGCCAUUUUUGGUAAGAAAAACUGGCGAUGCGGGAUGAACCAAAAGCUGGGUUACGAUGCCAAAUUACGCGCUAACAUAUAUCCCACAAAGGGUGUUGGUCAAUUAAGACAGCAGGACGGUGGCCAUGGAAGUCAAAAUCCGCUAAGGAGUGUGUAACAACUCACCUACCAAAUAAACUAGCCCCAAAAAUGGAUGGUUCGAACGGAUGUUCACAUAUUGUGAUUUCUGCUCAGUGCUCUGAAUGUCAAAGUGAUGAAAUUUAACUAAGCGCGGGUAAAAGGCAGGAGUAACUAUGACUCUCUUAAGGUAGCCAAAUUCCUCGUAAUCUAAUUAGUGACGCGAAUAAAUGUAUUAAAGAGAUUCCCACUAUCCCUGUCUACUAUCGAUGAAACCACAGCCAAGGGAACGGCCUUGGAAGAAUCAGCGGGGAAAGAAGACCCUCUUGAGCUUGACUUUACUCCGACUUUGUGAAAUGACUUGAGGGGUAUAGUAUAAGUGGGAGCCGAAAGGCGAAAGUUAAAUACCACUACUUUUAAUGUUAUUUUACUUAUUCCAUGAAUCGGAAGCGGGGCACUACCCCUCUUUUUGGACCCAAGGAUCGCUUUGCGGGUCAAUCCGGGCAGAAGACAUUGUCAGGUAGGGAGUUUGGUUGGGGUAGCAUAUCUGUUAAAAGAUAAUGCAAGUGUUCUAAGAUGAGCUCAACGAGUACAGAAAUAUCGUGUGGAACAGAAGGGUAAACGCUCGUUUGAUUCUGAUUUCCAGUACAAAUACGAACCAUGAAAGCGUGGCCUAACGAUCCUAUAGACCUUCGAAAUUCGAAGCUAGAUGUGUUAGAAAAGUGUUACCACAGGGAUAACUGGCCUGUUGCAGCUAAGCGUUCACAGCGAAGUUUCUUUUUCAUCCUUCGAUGGCGGCUCUUCCUAUCAUUGUUAAGAAGAAUUCACCAAGUGUUGGGCUGUUCACCCACCAAUAGGGAACGUGAGCUGGGUAUAGACCGUUGUGAGACAGGUUAGUUUUACCCUACUUAUGACAGUGUCACAAUAUUAAUUCAACCUAGUACUAGAGGAAAUGUUGAAUCACACAAUUUGUCAUCGCGAUUGGUUGAAAAGCCAGUGGUGCAAAGCAACCGUGUGCUGGAUUAUGACUGAACACCUCUAAGUUAGAAUCUGAGCUAGAAGCGACGCAUGCACCUGCUGUCCACUUGCCGACCCACAGUAAGGGCCUCAGCCUCCAAGGAAAUGUGUCGUUUGCUAAGACACCGCGGCGGAAGAGUCGCGGUGGCCGCCUUGAAGUAUAAUUUCCAUUGAGCGGCGGGU